GGCGUGCUUGACACAUGCAAGUCGAACGGUAUGUGGCAACACAUAGAGUGGCGAACGGGUGAGUAACACGUGGGAACGUACCCUACGCAGGGGGAUAACUGACCGAAAGGACAGCUAAUACCGCAUAAGACCGAAAGGUGAAAGGUGCAACUGCACCGGCGAAGGAGCGGCCCGCGGACCAUCAGCUAGUUGGUGGGGUAAGAGCCUACCAAGGCAACGACGGAUAGCCGGCGUGAGAGCGUGGCCGGCCACAAGGACACUGAGAUACGGGUCCUACUCCUACGGGAGGCAGCAGUGCGGAAUUUUAGAUAAUGGAGGCAACUCUGAUCUAGCGACGCCGCGUGCAGGAAGAAGGUCUUCGGAUUGUAAACUGCUGUGGUAAGGGAAAAAUGCCAUGUAGAGUGGAAAGCUACAUGGAGGGAUGGUACUUUACUAGAAAGCCCCGGCUAACUACGUGCCAGCAGCCGCGGUAAUACGUAGGGGGCGAGCGUUACCCGGAAUCACUGGGCGUAAAGGGAGCGUAGGUGGCCUGACAUGUCAACUGUGAAAACCCGGAGCUCAACUCCGGACUUGCAGUUGAAACUGCCAGGCUUGAGGACGGUAGAGGAAGACGGAACUGCCAGUGUAGGGGUAAAAUCCUUAGAUAUUGGCAGGAACGCCGGUGACGAAGGUGGUUUUCUGGGCCGGUUCUGACACUGAUGCUCGAAAGCCAGGGGAGCGAACGGGAUUAGAUACCCCGGUAGUCCUGGCCCUAAACGAUGUUCACUAGGUGUGGGGAGCGGAAAGCUUUCCGUGCUAAAGCUAACGCAAUAAGUGAACCGCCNGGGGAGUACGCCC
rnacentral:rRNA from 1 species